rnacentral:rRNA from 1 species
AUUGAACGCUGGCGGCAGGCCUAACACAUGCAAGUCGCACGAGUGGCGGACGGGUGAGUAAUGUCUGGGAAACUGCCUGAUGGAGGGGGAUAACUACUGGAAACGGUAGCUAAUACCGCAUACCAUCGGAUGUGCCCAGAUGGGAUUAGCUAGUAGGUGGGGUAAAGGCGCACCUAGGCGACGAUCCCUAGCUGGUCUGAGAGGAUGACAGCCAAAACUGGAAUGGAGACACGGUCCAGACGCCGACGGGAGGCAGCAGUGGGGAAUAUUGCACAAGGGGCGCAAGCCUGAUGCAGCCAUGCCGGGUGUAUAAAGAAGGCCUUCGGGUUGUAAAGUACUUUCAGCGGGGAGGCGUUACCCGCAGAAGAAGCACCGGCUACUCUGUGCCAGCAGCCGCGGUAAUUC